rnacentral:tRNA from 1 species
AGCAGUGUGGCCGUGCAGUCUAAAGCGCUGGAUUAAGGCUCCAGUCUCUUCGGGGGCGUGGGUUCCAAUCACACCGCUGCCA